UACAGAGGUCCCGAGCGUUGUUCGGAUUCACUGGGCGUAAAGGGUGCGUAGGUGGUGAGGUAAGUCGGAUGUGAAAUCUCCAGGCUCAACCCGGAAACUGCAUUGGAAACUACCUUGCUUGAGGAUUUGAGGGGGGAUUGGAAUACUUGGUGUAGCAGUGAAAUGCGUAGAUAUCAGGAGGAACACCAAUGGCGAAGGCAGCUCGCUGGAACGGUACUGACGCUGAGGCGCGAAAGCGUGGGGAGCGAACAGG
rnacentral:rRNA from 1 species